UGACCGGGUUAUGGGCCCAGUUGCUAUAGUAGAAUGCCGAGUGAAUUGCACAUGCGGUCCAUGUAGUCGCUGGUUUGGUCUAAAACAGUCCUGGAGCUUGCGUGUUGCCUCGUUACGGUCCUCAAACUUGCCAAUAUGGUCCAUCGACGGUCCUCAGGCGGGUCCCACGUACGUAUCAUCUACGCGUCCAGCCACGGCAGCACAGGCCGACGCGGGCCGAAUCAGUUUUUUGCAAUGCGGCCCGUUACUUUGAGAAGAAUACAGCCCGCAGUACAUCCUCUCGGGCUGGACGUACGCUGAUUGAAACGACGAACAGGGGCGGCGGCGGCGGUUGGAUUUGAUCGGAGGCGAUCGGCGAGGAGAUAGCAACCAUUUUGAGAGAAACUAGGAGGCGAUCGGCGACGGUGGCGAGGACAUAGCCACCGUGAGUCGCCAUCGGUGGCGAUGGCUCCCGUCCGGCGGCAUGAUAGGGUGGCCCCGUGCCCAAAUAUGGACAUGAGACUGAUCACUUCACUAUAGCUCAAGAGGAGAAAUUUGCACUUGCCGAGGCGAAAAGGUUAGCUAUGCAAGCAAAAAAGGGAGAAGCGGCAGAGGCAAAACAACGGAAGGCAGAAGAAGAAAAAAAGGAUUCAAGAAGAGAAGAAGAGAGAGGCAGAGGAAGCAUGCGCAAGGGAGGAAAGUCAGUUCAUUUUCAUGCAACAAGAGGAGCAGGAAAGGCAGCAGAGAUGGAGAGAAUAUCAGCAGCGAGAGGAGCAAGCAAGGCAAAAGACUGCUCCACAAAGUGAAGAGGAGGUUGGUAGGGCUCAAGAUGCUCCAGCAAGGCAAGAGCUUAAUAGGGCUCAAUUUGCUACAGCAAGGCUAAACCACACUCAUGAGAAAAAAAAGCUAGAUGAUAUGAAAGCAUUGAGGUUAAUGGCUGAUGAGGAGAGGUACAGGGCAUGGCUGCAAAAACAAGACGAGAUGGAGCAAGCAAACAGUCAACAAGGCACUUCCAACAAAAGAACUCUUCCCAGUCAGCAAAACACUCAAUUUAAGAUGCCAAGAAAAGUUAGAAUGUUUGAUUAUCUCAAGGAGUAGUUUACUUCAUUGUGAUGUGCCAAUUUCAGUUUAUUUUGGACCACUAUAAGUAAUUGAAACUAUGUUUAUUUUGUCACA